UUCCGGUUGAUCCUGCCGAAGGCUACUGCUAUUGGAGUUCGAUUAAGCCAUGCGAGUCUAAGGGACUUCGGUCCCUGGCAUAAUGCUCAGUAACAAGUGGAUAAUCUGCCCUUAGGUGAGGAAUAAACCCGGGAAACUGGGGCUAAUACCUCAUAGACACAAGAAGCUGGAAUGCUCCUGUGUUCAAAGCUCCGGCGCCUAAGGAUGAGUCUGCUUCCUAUCAGGUUGUAGUCAGGGUCAAGACCUGACUAGCCAACGACGGGUACGGGGUGUGAGAGCACUUGCCCGGAGAUGGUUUCUGAGACACGAAACCAGGCCCUACGGGGCGCAGCAGGCGCGAAAACUUCGCAAUGCGGGAAACCGUGACGAGGGAACUCCAAGUGUCUAUGCAUUGCAUAGACUGUUUUUUAGCCUAAAUAGCUAUUAGAGUAAGGGGUGGGCAAGACCGGUGCCAGCCGCCGCGGUAACACCGGCACCUCGAGUGGUAGCCACUAUUAUUGGGCCUAAAGCGUUCGUAGCCGGUUUGGUAAAUUCUUGGGUAAAUCGUACCGCUUAACGGUGCGGAUUCCGGGGACACUACCAGACUUGAGACCGGGGGAGAUCAGAGGUACUUGCGGGGGAGCGGUGAAAUGUUGUAAUCCCGCAGGGACCACCAGUGGCGAAGGCGUCUGAUCAGAACGGCUCUGACGGUGAGGAACGAAACCCUGGGGCGCAAACGGGAUUAGAUACCCCGGUAGUCCAGGGCGUAAACGCUGCUGACUUGGUGUUGGGGAUCCCACGAGGAUGUCCAGUGCUGGCGCGAAGGUAUUAAGUCAGCCGCCUGGGGAGUACGGUCGCAAGACUGAAACUUAAAGGAAUUGGCGGGGGAGCACUGCAACGUGUGGAGCGUGCGGUUUAAUUGGAGUCAACGCCGG
rnacentral:rRNA from 1 species